rnacentral:rRNA from 1 species
UACGGGAGGCAGCAGUGGGGAAUAUUGCACAAUGGGCGCAAGCCUGAUGCAGCCAUGCCGCGUGUAUGAAGAAGGCCUUCGGGUUGUAAAGUACUUUCAGUCGUGAGGAAGGUGUUAAGGUUAAUAACCUUAGCAAUUGACGUUAGCGACAGAAGAAGCACCGGCUAACUCCGUGCCAGCAGCCGCGGUAAUACGGAGGGUGCGAGCGUUAAUCGGAAUUACUGGGCGUAAAGGGCACGCAGGCGGUUAUAAGUUGGAUGUGAAUCCCCGGGCUUAACCUGGGAAUGGCAUUCAAGACUGGUUAGCUAGAGUCUUGUAGAGGGGGUAGAAUUCCAUGUGUAGCGGUGAAAUGCGUAGAGAUGUGGAGGAAUACCGGUGGCGAAGGCGGCCCCUGGACAAAGACUGACGCUCAUGUGCGAAAGCGUGGGGAGCGAAACAGGGAUUAGAUACC